UUUACGCUUUGGUUUCGCGACUUUGCUUUUUUUUUUCAACGAAAAGCAAUUCUUUUUGUUUGUUUGCCACAUGAAAUUCCCAUUUCUUUUAUGCUUCGUUUGUAACUGACUAAACUGGACAAACGCGUUGUGUGGCUGGUGUUUGGUGGUGGAAUUCAUGCUACAAGUUCUGUCAUGCCACAUAUGGUUAGUUGUUAUGGGUUAAUGAUUCCUUCUUAUUUCAAUUUUUAUUCAAAAAAAAUGCACAAAAAAAUAUUUAUUAAAAAAUAUAGCUAGAGUUAGGUGACCAUAUUUUUCAUGGCAAAAUCCGAGACGGUUUUUUUAGUCAUCGAUUUUUCCAUAUUAUCACUGAAAAUCGCGACAUAUAAUAGGUGAGAGAGCAACACAAUUUUAUUCAAUUCUUAACUCGAAAUCCGGACUGCCUCGGUCCAACCGGGCCGCAUGGUCAGCUAAAGCUAGAUGUAUGCAAUUUUUUGCCAACUUUACUAGAAAGUAUUGGCUUUUUCAGCUGUUUCGAAAAAUUCUUUUAAUGAGCCAUCAGCUCUUUCUUCGAUUCUAAAUCUGAUUUCACCAAUUGUGGCAAAACGCUUUCCUUUCAUUGGUUUCGUGAGUUUUGGGAAUAGGAAAAAGUAGCAGGGAGACAAAUCUAGUGAAUACGGUGGUUGAGGCAUGAUUACGGUUUUGUUUUUGGUCAUUCAACAACUUCUGAGCGCUACUAAUGCGACAUGGCUUUUGCUUAACGUUUGGCAAUUUCAAAACAAACUUUGCUGCCACACGUUUCAUGCCCAAAACAUUCGAGAAAAUUGAAUGGCAUGAGCCGAUUGAUAUGCCAACAUUCUCUGCGACUUCCCUAACAGUGUUUCGACAAUUUUCAAGAACACUUUUUUUUCACUGUUUCGACGUUUCUUCGCCUGUUAAUGUGGUCGCACCUCCAGCAUGCUCAUCGUCAUCAACAUCUUCUCGGCCUUCUGUAAAGCGCUUGUACCACUUAUACAUUUCCACAGUCAACAUUUCAAGUGCCUUGGAGCACUUUAUUUCAUUUUUAACGCAAAACUUCAUACAUAUUCUUUGAUGCAUUUCCUUCAAAAGUCAAAAAUCGUAGAGCCCUCAAAAAUGUGACAAACCUUUUCUCUUGUCAAAAACAAACUACUAAUCGAAAUUGGCUCCUAAUGCAAACACAUGAUAAACAUAUGUGUCCGAUUAUCACAAAAACAAAAUAUCGAUAAUCGAAUGUACACAUUUUAUAGGGUCACCAACGUUUCCUUUUGAGUGUUACAAACUGCAUGGCAAACUUAAGCGUAUAAAAAUAUUCUUCACGUGUUUUGAAAUCAGUUCGGUACCGAAUUUCUAUUUUCCAGUGGUUUAAACACGAAUUUAGCAGCGCGCAGCACCUGCCGACCUAACCUUAAACUUUGUAAGCUACACUCGCCGCUACACGGUGCUGCUCAAAUGCAGGUCGUUUGUGCGAAAAAGAGGACAGCUGCUGCAGACUUUUAUGCAGUGACAUGCAUUUGAAACUAAGUGUGCCAAGCUUCAUCGAACGCAAACGCUGUGCUGACCUUACGCAAAUCACUUGGCUUGGUUUGACAGAUUUUAGUCAGCUAUAGUGGGUGUACAUAUAUGUGUGCAUUAACAAUAUUCACACGCGUUCAUAAAAAAUAUAAUUUUGCAUAAUUCGAACGAAUUUUAAUGUUUAACAAGUGCAGAAAUAAGUUUCCAUUGCUAAAUUUUCUACAUUUUUUUCGUUUCACUUUUUUUAGAGGUUCCUUUAAUUGGCUUACGGCAUUUUACUGUAUGCCAAACUCUUGCAAGCCGUUUUAUUAUUACUGUUUACCUUUGCUCGCACUGAAGCGUUGUUUUGAUUGUUUGCAUAUACUUGUAUGUGUGUAUGUGUGUAACAGUUAAGUGCUAACAUUCGAUUGUUACGAUUUUAUUAAUUUUUUCUUGUCACUGUUCAUGUUUAGCAAUACAAAUUUCAAUACAAAAGCAGUGUAGAAAAAUAAAUAAAAAAUACAACAAAAGCUUUAAUAACAAAGACUGAAAUCGAAAGGAAAGGCAAUUCCAGCAAAAGAAAACAAAUGCUUUCAAUGCAAUUUCAAGGCGGUUAGACCAAUUGCUGUCGCCUCCAGCAUUUACUUCAAGCAACAGCGCUGCCCCCCACUCUCACUAUCGCUCUAUGCAGUGAGCGGUAGGUAACUGUGAAAGUGAACAGCGUGCCGCUAGUGUGCUUGGCAUAUGGCAUAAAGCAGCGGUAGACAUAAUAACAACAACGCGACAAAUAACAAUAACAAUAAAAAAGCGCCGCGCAGCUGUUGCUAUUUAUUGUUGUGCCAUUUGGAGCAUUUUGUGAAGAGCUUGCAUAGUGUAACACACAGAGUAACCGUGUUAGUUACCCCACUCAACUGAACUGUCAUAACCUAUAGAAUCGCCAGCUACAAUAAAAACAUACACAUGUACUUACUUAUGUGCUUACUAUAUGUAUAAGCUGCUCCACCGCUAGCGCUGCUCAAACGUAGCGGCAGGCAUGGGAACGAUGGUUUCUCUGCGCUAAAGUUAGAGAUAAUUUAUUUAGCGAUGCUGAGUUGAUGAUAACUAAUACAUUGGCGCUAGCGCAGGCAAUAACGGCGAAGACGUUGCGUUGUAAAUUAGAAAAUUUCUAUAAAAAAACGCGCACACAUAUAUACAAACACAUGUAUGUAUGUAGAGCAGCGUGCACGUAUACAUUAAUGUGGCGGAGCAAAAGCGAAUAGCAAAGCAAUGAGCUGUAAGCUAACAAAGGCAGCAUGAAUGUGUAGAAAGUGUGUGUACGGUGUGGUUGGUUGACAUGACAGCUGGGAGGGGAAACAUGGUGUUAAUGCUUGCGACGAUUGGGGAUAAGGAGCAUGUUAAAUUGAAAAAAAGAGGCGUAGUAGCGUAGUUGGAGUGUUAAGGAGUUUGAUAAUCAAUUAUUAUUUAUACACACCGAUGUCUUUAUACUAAACCAUUUUGGUUUUGUUUUUUUAAUUUUAAUUGCCUACCUCUCCUACACUGCUGCGCCCAACAUUUUCGUUUAUUUUUAGUUAAAAAAUUAGUAAUUAAUUUAUGUAGGUAGGUGUGUUUAUUUAGAGAA